rnacentral:rRNA from 1 species
AGUGGCGAACGGGUGAGUAACGCGUAGACAACCUGCCUCGUAGAUGGGGACAACACUGCGAAAGUGGUGCUAAUACCGAAUGAAGUAUUUCGUGCGCAUGCACGAAAUACCAAAGGUGGCCUCUAUAUAUAAGCUACCACUAUGAGAGGGGUCUGCGUCUGAUUAGCUAGUUGGUGGGGUAAUGGCUCACCAAGGCGACGAUCAGUAGCCGGUCUGAGAGGAUGAACGGCCACACUGGGACUGAGACACGGCCCAGACUCCUACGGGAGGCAGCAGUGGGGAAUCUUCCGCAAUGGACGAAAGUCUGACGGAGCAACGCCGCGUGAGUGAAGAAGGUUUUCGGAUCGUAAAGCUCUGUCAUUUAGGACGAAUGUGUUUUUUGUAAAUAAUGAGAAACAAUGACGGUACUAAAGAAGGAAGCCACGGCUAACUACGUGCCAGCAGCCGCGGUAAUAC